AUGCGCUGCGGCGUUAGGGAGAAGAAGAAACAGGAUGCUGGCGUCCGGAAGUGUGGUGAAACUGCGUCAGAAGCCAUCAAGCUUCGCGGUGCAAGUUUGCUUAGCACAGGGCCAGUGGCGCAAUGGAUAACGCGUCUGACUACGGAUCAGAAGAUUCUAGGUGUGAUUGAGAAACACAGUGACUGCUGCCAGCCAGUCCCCACCCAACAGAAACGGAGCUUAUAAAAAACGAUACUGUGUCCUCAUCCAACCAUAUUCACCUGAUCUGGCUCCGCGGGACCUGUGGCUCUUCCCAAAGUCAACGUGACCGUGAAACGGUUUGAAUUGAUUGCGGACAUUGAGGCAACCAGAAUUGCGCAACUAAAAACACUUGGGAAAGAGGACUCCAGAGCUGCUGCAGAAACUGGCAAGUACAAGAUGUGCGCUUUCUUAAAGGCAAGGAGAGGAUGCAAGAGGGACUCCGGGCAAUGUUGUGUUUUACUGUAAUACAUUUUUUUAAAGUACUAGUUAAGCAUUCACUAUAUUGUUGGGUCACACCGUGUAGCUCAAUAUAGAGUACCUGACUUUGCAUGCAUGAAUUCAAUCCUCAGCACCAAAAACUAAAAUGUAUUCCCACCCCAAGACCAUUAUAAUUAACGUCUUGAACCCAGA